rnacentral:rRNA from 1 species
AGCGAACGCCGGCGGCAGGCCUAACACAUGCAAGUCGAGGGAGAAGCUGCUCUUCGGAGCGGUGGAGACCGGCGCACGGGUGAGUAACGCGUGGGAACCUACCCCGGGGUGCGGAAUAACUGCUGGAAACGGCAGCUAAUACCGCAUACGCCUUGAGAGGGAAAGCUAUGGCUUCGGCCAUUUGCGCUCUGGGACGGGCCCGCGUUGGAUUAGCUUGUUGGUGAGGUAAAGGCUCACCAAGGCAACGAUCUAUAGCUGGUCUGAGAGGAUGAUCAGCCACACUGGGACUGAGACACGGCCCAG